rnacentral:rRNA from 1 species
AGUGAACGCUGGCGGUAGGCCUAACACAUGCAAGUCGAACGGCAGCACAGUAAGAGCUUGCUCUUACGGGUGGCGAGUGGCGGACGGGUGAGGAAUACAUCGGAAUCUACUUUUUCGUGGGGGAUAACGUAGGGAAACUUACGCUAAUACCGCAUACUAUCUACGGGUGAAAGCAGGGGAUCUUCGGACCUUGCGCGAUUGAAUUAGCCGAUGUCGCAUUAGCUAGUUGGCAGGGUAAAGGCCCACCAAGGCAACGAUCCGUAGCAGGUCUGAGAGGAUGAUCAGCCACACUGGAACUGAGACACGGUCCAGACUCCUACGGGAGGCAGCAGUGGGGAAUCUUGGACAAUGGGCGCAAGCCUGAUCCAGCCAUACCGCCUGGGUGAAGAAGGCCUUCGGGUCGUAAAGCCCUUUUGUUGGGAAAGAAAAGCAGCAGGUUAAUACCCCGCUGUUCUGACGGUACCCAAAGAAUAAGCACCGGCUAACUUCGUG